rnacentral:rRNA from 1 species
GAUGAACGCUGGCGGCGUGCCUAAUACAUGCAAGUCGAGCGAACAGACGAGGAGCUUGCUCCUCUGACGUUAGCGGCGGACGGGUGAGUAACACGUGGAUAACCUACCUAUUAGACUUGGAUAACUUCGGGAAACCGGUGCUAAUACCGGAUCAUAUAUUGUACCGCAUGGUUCAAUAGUGCAAGACGCUUUUGCUGUCACAUAUAGAUGGAUCCGCGCCGCAUUAGCUAGUUGGUAAGGUAACGGCUUACCAAGGCAACGAUGCUUAGCCGACCUGAGAGGGUGAUCAGCCACACUGGAACUGAGACACGGUCCAGACUCCUACGGGAGGCAGCAGUAGGGAAUCUUCCGCAAUGGGCGAAAGCUUGACGGAGCAACGCCGCGUGAGUGAUGAAGGUCUUCGGAUCGUAAAACUCUGUUAUUAGGGAAGAACAAAUGUGUGAGUAACUAUGCACGUCUUGACGGUACCUAAUCAGAAAGCCACGGCUAACUACGUG